rnacentral:rRNA from 1 species
GACGAACGCUGGCGGCGUGCUUAACACAUGCAAGUCGAACGGAAAGGCCCUGCUUUUGUGGGGUGCUCGAGUGGCGAACGGGUGAGUAACACGUGAGUAACCUGCCCUUGACUUUGGGAUAACUUCAGGAAACUGGGGCUAAUACCGGAUAGGAGCUCCUGCUGCAUGGUGGGGGUUGGAAAGUUUCGGCGGUUGGGGAUGGACUCGCGGCUUAUCAGCUUGUUGGUGGGGUAGUGGCUUACCAAGGCUUUGACGGGUAGCCGGCCUGAGAGGGUGACCGGCCACAUUGGGACUGAGAUACGGACCAGACUCCUACGGGAGGCAGCAGUGGGGAAUAUUGCACAGUGGGCGGAAGCCUGAUGCAGCAACGCCGCGUGCGGGAUGACGGCCUUCGGGUUGUAAACCGCUUUCGCCUGUGACGAAGCGUGAGUGACGGUAAUGGGUAAAGAAGCACCGGCUAACUACGUG